rnacentral:lncRNA from 1 species
CAUGCCCCUGGCCCUGGUUCUCUGGCCAGGCUCUGGGCACGCAGCUUCCUGUGUGACAGACGUGUUCCAUGUUGAAGUUAAGCCAUUUGAUGAGGGGCUCACUAUACAUUUGGGCAGGAAGGAAGAACGUGCUCAUAAAACUGGUGCUGCCCGGGAAGAGGGAACUUUCCCCAAAUCUUGUGGCCACGGUCUAGAGCAGGAGCCUGACAUUUGACGGCUGGGAUAUCAGCCCCAGCCUGGCUCUCCAGCCCUGGGCAAAGCAUCCACUUCUCUGAGCUUCCAGUUUCCUCAUCUGUCAGAUGAGGGUCACAUAAGCAGUUAAUCUGUGGGCUGUUUUGAAGAUUGAGAGGUAAUACAUGCAAAAGUCACAGAAUUUUGUCUUGCAUAGAGUAAAUGAUCAAUAAAUGUGAGCAAAAAAAUCAGGAGAAGGAGGUUAGAUGAGCAUGAGAGACUACAGAGUUUACAGAAAGCUCUCUUAGACCCAAGAUCCUGGCCCCAUCUGGCUUCUCCCACACAUCUGUUCCACACAUUUCCCCAAAGUUCCAUCCCUGUCCUGACAACACAGACCAGGAAAUUCAGAUUCACAGAAAACCAAUAAUUUAAUCUAAGUCCUCUUGCUGGACAGUAAGCCAGUAAAAUCCUAAAUGGACUCAAAAGUUUAUCAGAUUUGAUAGCGUUCCUUGGCUUGGGGCAGAGGCCAUCCCUCCUAGGUAGUUCAGGCCUUUAUCACCCCAGGCCUACAUACUUGCGAAAGACUCGUUUCUUAACCUGUUUUUCUGUGCACAGUUGCCAGAUUGGUUUUGGCAGAGGCAGCUUCUCCCUUAUCAAUUUCAGGUGUUUAAAAGUUGGCAGCAACUCCUCCGUCCUAAGCCUAGAGGUAAUCUGCAGUUUGUCCCCAACUCAGUUUCACCCCUUUCCCACAGUUUUUGCCUGCAGAGGAGGAAUUAUAAAGAGCUUUUGUGAUUGAGAAGAGGAGGGUGUUCAAUAGUCACAUAUUUCUGCACAGACUUGACCUUUCACUGUAGCUUUCUCCACAGCAGGGUCUGGUCCUUGGCGCACAGCGUGUUCUGUACGUGCUGACUCAGGGGACAGAAACACAGAGGCUGCGGCCGCCACGUGAUCCUUAGACUUCUGUACCAAGUCUGUGAGGGAAGCUCUUGUGAGCAAGCUAAUGUUUCUUUCCUGAGUAGCAGGUCAGUUAGCCUGUUCAAGUCUAGUUGGCUCACAGACAGUUGCAGAAUUCUUUCUGGGCUCUCGGGAUGGGAAGGGAAGGGUUCUCAGCCCCUUGGCAUGACGACGCAAGUAACGGGUUUGAAAGGCCUCCUGGGGUCUGUAAGAUACCUGGCCCCAGUUAUCAAGUUAAAACUCAGGGCCUUGGAUCUAGUAUGUAAAUUUAUUUAUUUUUCACAAUUGCAGACAAAUUUAUAUAUUACUAUUAUUUUUGAGGGAGAGUCUUGUUCGGUUGCCCAGGCUGUAGUGCAGUGGUGUGAUCAUAGCUCACUGCAGCCUCAGCCUCCUGGUCUCAGGAGAUCUCCCGCCUCAGCCUCCUGAGUAGCUGGGACUACCUGGGCAUGCGCCACCACACUGGGCUAAUUUUUUAAAUUUUUAGUUGACAUGGGGGGGGGGGUCUCACUAUGUUGCCCAGGCUAGUCUUGAACUUCUGCGCUCAAGUGAUCCUCCCGCCUCAGCCUCCCAAAGUGCUAGGAUUACAGGUGUGAGCCACUGCACCUGGCCUAAAUUUGUAUUUUGUGCAAGCCAGUGAUCCAUUUGUUUCCUGAUAAAAAUGUGAUGAAGUCAGAGACUGUUAUAGAACCAUGAGCUAUGGGGCAAGUCUGUAGUGAAAUUAAGUAAAGGGGAGGGAAUAAUUGGAAUGCCGAUGGCCAUGUCUGAGCAUCGAGAUCAACCACAAAUCAUUCUCACAAGCACAUGUCAAUUUGUGAUAUAUUAUUAGAUCUGAAAAAAAAAAAGAGAUCAUGUUGUAACUGAGUAGAUCAGAGUGAUUCGCUUUGAUCAGAUAUUCCAAUCUUGCCGGAUCAUUAUAAAGCCAACCUGAAUUUACACAAAGAUUUUCUUCCUACUGUGCUCAAAACACAGAUAUAUAUUCCCCCGCCUGUGAUCCUCCCAGUGACCCGAUGAGGUAGGCAGAGAACAACAUAAUCUCUGCCUCUUAAAUAAGCUAAUUGCGCUUGAAAGUACUUUUAGCACUUUAGAACAUAAAUAAUAUUCCAGGGCAGAGUUAGCUCCCCUUUCUUUCUCUGAAAUUCAGAAUGGUACAGUAGAGCUGCCAGGACUACUGAGUAACACGACAGUGUGAAAAACGAAAGACAAACAGCUCAAAGUCUUGGGCCAGGGCCGUUUUUCCAGCAUUUUCUGCUUUGCCCUCUACUUUCAUAUAGUUUAGAAUUUAUUUUAGAAUGCACAGAAUACAUUUCUAUAUAUUUGUGGUCACCUUUUCCCCACAUCUUGGAAAUAGCAGCAAUAGACAAUAUUGAACACAGAAACUACUGAUAAAUGCAAAAAAGGUUAAUUAAUUAAUAUAGUUGUCCCACCGUAUUCCUGGGGGAUUGGUUCCAGGACCCCGGGUGAUCCUAAAAUCCACAGAUGCUCAAGUCCCUGAUACUAAAUGGUGCAGUAUUUGCGUAUAACCCCUGCACAACCUUUGGUAUCCUUUAAAUCAUCUCUAUAUUACUUAUCAUAUCUAACACAAUGUAAGGCUAUGUAAAUAGUUGUUAUACUUUAUUGUUUAGGGAACAAUGACAAGAAAAAAUUUCUGUAUAUGUUCAGUACAGGCAUAUUUUCCCCCCAAGUAUUUCAGAUCUGCAUUUUGCCAAAUCCACAGAUGUGGAGCCCCCGGCCAGCAGGGCUGACCAGCAGGGCCGAGUGUCCUGCGAGUGCCUGGCUCAGCACAGCAUAAGCACUGAGUCAAGGAGCUCAUGGGUUUGAGGGCUCAUUCAUUCAGAAGCUGAGAACUUUCUUUGGACCAAAUUGCUGCUGGUGAUAAUGGGAGGCCAGCAAAGAGGGUAUGAGGGAGAGUGAAAAUCUCAGGACAGUGAAAAUCCAGCACCUCAGGGGGUGGGGGGCAAGGGGAGGGAGAGCAUUAGGAUAAAUACCUAAUGCAUGCGGGGUUUAAAACCUAGAUGACGGGUUGAUAGGUGCAGCAAACCACCAUGGCACAUGUCUACCUAUGUAACAAACCUGCACUGUCUGCACAUGUAUCCCAGAACUUAAAGUAAAAUUAAAAAAAUAGAAAGAAAAGAAAAUCCAGUGCCUGCCUGGCAUGAUGACAGGCAGCUAAGCUGAGGGCAGAAGAGGCGGAGAUCAGCUCCGGGCUCAGGAACAUGGGGAGCCGGGAAGACAGAGGGAGGAGGGAAGGAGCUCUCCCGAUGGGACUAGCACUCCUGGAAAACAACAUUUUUUUUGCAUUGAUGUCGUGGCUGUUUUUGGAAGGAUUCGAACUCUGCUUGGAAUGGCAAGGUCUCCACCAGUACUGAUGCUUUAAGGUUUUGCUAACGAUGACAAUGCAUUAUUUAGAUAGGUGAUUUUCCAUAUUAAAAAAAAAAGGUUCCUAGAUUCGAAUAGCAUCUACCUUACAGACAUGGUCCUGAGACCCUGGGAGAGGUGCAGCUGGCCAACACGCUGUGUCCCCACAGGGAACGAGCAUGGAAGGGUUAAGCAGCAGCGUUCCCUGCCCAGAAGAAGCAGUGUUCUGUAGCAAGUAUUUUAAAUUCAGCUGCUAGAGCAGGAGAGGAGACAGAGAUGGAGGCUUCUGGGCCAGAUGCUAGAAUCAGUAUGGUUCAGUGGCUGAAGAGGUCAGCAGGUGACACAAGUGAGAGGGACACAGGACGAUACCACUAACUGGCCUGAAUGUUAAAGGAGCAAUGGGGUUCUACACGGUGAAUGGGGAUAAUUGUUAGGAAGUGGCAUUGGGGAGCAUGGGGAUUCCAGAAGAACCCUUUCCAAUCUCUCCCCAUAGCAGUUAUUAGCCAGUCUUAGCAUAGAACAUCAUGUCUUCUCAUGCUUUUGCUGAAUGUUGUUAGUUGCUGGGUGUUGAGUCAGUGUGGCACGUUGAAAGGAGCACGGGGUUGGGAUCAGGACUCCUGAGUUCAAGUUCUGUCUGUGCCUGUCUUGGUUGCUUAAUGACCUUAUGUAAAUUCCUAUUCUUGUCAGGUAUCAGAUUCCUCAUUUGUAAAAAUGGGUCUAAUAAUGCUGCCCCAUGACCAUUGAUGUGGAGACGAUUUAUGAACUGCAAAAUCUGACACAAUCUACAACUUUGUGUUGUUAGUUCCUCGGGGACAAGAACUAUUUGGAACCACACCAAAGCAUUAGUGAUUAUUAGAGGCAUUUCAUAAACACAUUUUUAUCAUAAUGAUGUUGAUACCGAAAGCUAGUGCUUUUGCCAGAAGUGUUAAUAAAAAUUGUUGGUAGCCAGUUCUCCAAGACCCUCUCCCAAGGUGUCAUAGUUCUUACGAACAUUAUAAUAUGAGACUAUUGAUUUUUUUUUUUUUUUUGAGAUGGAUUCUCGCUGUCACCCAGGCUGGAGUGCAGUGGCGCCAUCUCGGCUCACUGCAAGCUCCGCCUCCCAGGUUCACGCCAUUCUCCUGCCUCAGCCUCCCGAGUAGCUGGGACUACAAGCGCCUGCCACCAUUGCCGGCUAAUUUUUUGUAUUUUUAGUAGAGACAGGGUUUCACCGUGUUAGCCAGGAUGGUUUCGAUCUCCUGACCUCGUGAUCUGCUCGUCUCGGCCUCCCAAAGUGCUGGGAUUAUAGGCGUGAGCCACUGCGCCCGGCGAGAAUAUUGAUUUUAAUGAGGAUGUCACCCAAAUCAAGCAGAUCCCUAAUCAUAAAAAUAAGCAAAGAAAUGCAAAAAUUAACACCCUGAAAUCUUGCUUUAAGCCCAUCUAAAGGAGUCUGCUGGAAGGUAUAUUCCACAAUG